GUCCUUUUGAAUUUAAUUUAAGGUCUGGCCUGCCCACUGAAAUUUUUAAAUGGCCGUGGUAUUUUGACCGUGCUAAGGUAGCAUAAUCAUUAGUUUUUUAAUUAAAAGCUGGAAUGAAGGGUUAGAUAAGAAAAUAACUGUCUCUGUAUAAUUUUAUUAGAAUUUUAUUUUUAAGUUAAAAAGCUUAAGUUUAGUUAAAAGACGAGAAGACCCUAUAGAGUUUUAUUAUAAUUUAAAUUUUUUAUUUUAGAAUUUAAUUAUUAAAUUUAAUUUAUAAUUUAAUUGGGGUGAUUAAAAAAUUUAAUUAACUUUUUUUAUAUAGUAACAUAAAUUUAUGAAUUAUUGAUCCAAUUUUUUUGAUUAUAAGAUAAAAUUACCUUAGGGAUAACAGCGUAAUUUUUUUAGAAAGUUCAUAUUGAAAAAAAAGAUUGCGACCUCGAUGUUGGAUUAAAAUUAAUUUUUGGUGUAGAAGCUAGGAUAUUAGGUCUGUUCGACCUUUAAAAUUUU
rnacentral:rRNA from 1 species